GACGAACGCUGGCGGCGUGCUUAACACAUGCAAGUCGAACGGAAAGGCCCUGCUUUUGUGGGGUGCUCGAGUGGCGAACGGGUGAGUAACACGUGAGUAACCUGCCCUUGACUUUGGGAUAACUUCAGGAAACUGGGGCUAAUACCGGAUAGGAGCUCCUGCUGCAUGGUGGGGGUUGGAAAGUUUCGGCGGUUGGGGAUGGACUCGCGGCUUAUCAGCUUGUUGGUGGGGUAGUGGCUUACCAAGGCUUUGACGGGUAGCCGGCCUGAGAGGGUGACCGGCCACAUUGGGACUGAGAUACGGCCCAGACUCCUACGGGAGGCAGCAGUGGGGAAUAUUGCACAAUGGGCGGAAGCCUGAUGCAGCAACGCCGCGUGCGGGAUGACGGCCUUCGGGUUGUAAACCGCUUUCGCCUGUGACGAAGCGUGAGUGACGGUAAUGGGUAAAGAAGCACCGGCUAACUACGUGCCAGCAGCCGCGGUGAUACGUAGGGUGCGAGCGUUGUCCGGAUUUAUUGGGCGUAAAGGGCUCGUAGGUGGUUGAUCGCGUCGGAAGUGUAAUCUUGGGGCUUAACCCUGAGCGUGCUUUCGAUACGGGUUGACUUGAGGAAGGUAGGGGAGAAUGGAAUUCCUGGUGGAGCGGUGGAAUGCGCAGAUAUCAGGAGGAACACCAGUGGCGAAGGCGGUUCUCUGGGCCUUUCCUGACGCUGAGGAGCGAAAGCGUGGGGAGCGAACAGGCUUAGAUACCCUGGUAGUCCACGCUGUAAACGGUGGGUACUAGGUGUGGGGUCCAUUCCACGGGUUCCGUGCCGUAGCUAACGCUUUAAGUACCCCGCCUGGGGAGUACGGCCGCAAGGCUAAAACUCAAAGGAAUUGACGGGGCCCCGCACAAGCGGCGGAGCAUGCGGAUUAAUUCGAUGCAACGCGUAGAACCUUACCUGGGUUUGACAUGGAUCGGGAGCGCUCAGAGAUGGGUGUGCCUCUUUUGGGGUCGGUUCACAGGUGGUGCAUGGCUGUCGUCAGCUCGUGUCGUGAGAUGUUGGGUUAAGUCCCGCAACGAGCGCAACCCUUGUUCACUGUUGCCAGCACGUUAUGGUGGGGACUCAGUGGAGACCGCCGGGGUCAACUCGGAGGAAGGUGGGGAUGACGUCAAGUCAUCAUGCCCCUUAUGUCCAGGGCUUCACGCAUGCUACAAUGGCUGGUACAGAGAGUGGCGAGCCUGUGAGGGUGAGCGAAUCUCGGAAAGCCGGUCUCAGUUCGGAUUGGGGUCUGCAACUCGACCUCAUGAAGUCGGAAUCGCUAGUAAUCGCAGAUCAGCAACGCUGCGGUGAAUACGUUCCCGGGGCU
rnacentral:rRNA from 1 species